GCCUCGAUGGAGCAGUAGGCAGCGCGUGAGUCUCAUAAAUCUCAAGGUCGUGAGUUCGAUCCUCACUCGGGGCA
rfam:Ciona savignyi cont_57981, whole genome shotgun sequence.